AGAGUUUGAUCAUGGCUCAGAGCGAACGCUGGCGGCAGGCUUAACACAUGCAAGUCGAACGGGCAUAGCAAUAUGUCAGUGGCAGACGGGUGAGUAACGCGUGGGAACAUACCUCUUGGUUCGGAACAACACAGGGAAACUUGUGCUAAUACCGGAUAAGCCCUUACGGGGAAAGAUUUAUCGCCGAGAGAUUGGCCCGCGUCUGAUUAGCUAGUUGGUGUGGUAAAGGCGCACCAAGGCGACGAUCAGUAGCUGGUCUGAGAGGAUGAUCAGCCACAUUGGGACUGAGACACGGCCCAAACCCCUACGGGAGGCAGCAGUGGGGAAUAUUGGACAAUGGGCGCAAGCCUGAUCCAGCCAUGCCGCGUGAGUGAUGAAGGCCUUAGGGUUGUAAAGCUCUUUUGUACGGGAAGAUAAUGACGGUACCGUAAGAAUAAGCCCCGGCUAACUUCGUGCCAGCAGCCGCGGUAAUACGAAGGGGGCUAGCGUUGCUCGGAAUCACUGGGCGUAAAGGGUGCGUAGGCGGGUUUUUAAGUCAGAGGUGAAAUCCUGGAGCUCAACUCCAGAACUGCCUUUGAUACUGAAAGUCUUGAGUAUGGGAGAGGUGAGUGGAACUGCGAGUGUAGAGGUGAAAUUCGUAGAUAUUCGCAAGAACACCAGUGGCGAAGGCGGCUCACUGGCCCAUUACUGACGCUGAGGCACGAAAGCGUGGGGAGCAAACAGGAUUAGAUACCCUAGUAGUCC
rnacentral:rRNA from 1 species